UCAGGUAGAGAAUACCAAGGCGCUUGAGAGAACUCGGGUGAAGGAACUAGGCAAAAUGGUGCCGUAACUUCGGGAGAAGGCACGCUGACACGUAGGUGAAGUGAUUUACUCAUGGAGCUGAAGUCAGUCGAAGAUACCAGCUGGCUGCAACUGUUUAUUAAAAACACAGCACUGUGCAAACACGAAAGUGGACGUAUACGGUGUGACGCCUGCCCGGUGCCGGAAGGUUAAUUGAUGGGGUCAGCGCAAGCGAAGCUCCUGAUCGAAGCCCCGGUAAACGGCGGCCGUAACUAUAACGGUCCUAAGGUAGCGAAAUUCCUUGUCGGGUAAGUUCCGACCUGCACGAAUGGCGUAAUGAUGGCCAGGCUGUCUCCACCCGAGACUCAGUGAAAUUGAACUCGCUGUGAAGAUGCAGUGUACCCGCGGCAAGACGGAAAGACCCCGUGAACCUUUACUAUAGCUUGACACUGAACAUUGAGCCUUGAUGUGUAGGAUAGGUGGGAGGCUUUGAAGUGUGGACGCCAGUCUGCAUGGAGCCGACCUUGAAAUACCACCCUUUAAUGUUUGAUGUUCUAACGUGGACCCGUGAUCCGGGUUGCGGACAGUGUCUGGUGGGUAGUUUGACUGGGGCGGUCUCCUCCUAAAGAGUAACGGAGGAGCACGAAGGUUGGCUAAUCCUGGUCGGACAUCAGGAGGUUAGUGCAAUGGCAUAAGCCAGCUUGACUGCGAGCGUGACGGCGCGAGCAGGUGCGAAAGCAGGUCAUAGUGAUCCGGUGGUUCUGAAUGGAAGGGCCAUCGCUCAACGGAUAAAAGGUACUCCGGGGAUAACAGGCUGAUACCGCCCAAGAGUUCAUAUCGACGGCGGUGUUUGGCACCUCGAUGUCGGCUCAUCACAUCCUGGGGCUGAAGUAGGUCCCAAGGGUAUGGCUGUUCGCCAUUUAAAGUGGUACGCGAGCUGGGUUUAGAACGUCGUGAGACAGUUCGGUCCCUAUCUGCCGUGGGCGCUGGAGAACUGAGGGGGGCUGCUCCUAGUACGAGAGGACCGGAGUGGACGCAUCACUGGUGUUCGGGUUGUCAUGCCAAUGGCACUGCCCGGUAGCUAAAUGCGGAAGAGAUAAGUGCUGAAAGCAUCUAAGCACGAAACUUGCCCCGAGAUGAGUUCUCCCUGAGACUUUAGGUCUCCUGAAGGAACGUUGAAGACGACGACGUUGAUAGGCCGGGUGUGUAAGCGCAGCGAUGCGUUGAGCUAACCGGUACUAAUGAACCGUGAGGCUUAACCUU
rnacentral:rRNA from 1 species